rnacentral:rRNA from 1 species
CAGCAGCCACGGGAAUACGGAGGGAGCUAGCGUUGUUCGGAAUCACUGGGCGUAAAGCGCACGUAGGCGGCUAUUCAAGUCAGGGGUGAAAGCCCGGGGCUCAACCCCGGAACUGCCUUUGAAACUAGAUAGCUUGAAUCUUGGAGAGGCGAGUGGAAUUCCGAGUGUAGAGGUGAAAUUCGUAGAUAUUCGGAAGAACACCAGUGGCGAAGGCGACUCGCUGGACAAGUAUUGACGCUGAGGUGCGAAAGCGUGGGGAGCAAACAGGAUUAGAGACCCGAGUAGUCCCUGUCUCUUAUAA